rnacentral:rRNA from 1 species
UGGGGAAUAUUGCACAAUGGGGAGGACCCUGAUGCAGCGACGCCGCGUGAGCGAAGAAGUAUUUCGGUAUGUAAAGCUCUAUCAGCAGGGAAGAAAAUGACGGUACCUGACUAAGAAGCCCCGGCUAACUACGUGCCAGCAGCCGCGGUAAUACGUAGUUGCGAGCGUUGUCCGGAUUUACUGGGUGUAAAGGGCGUGUAGGCGGAGAAGCAAGUUGGGAGUGAAAUCUAUGGGCUCAACCCAUAAACUGCUCUCAAAACUGUUUCCCCAUUGAGUAUCGGAGAGGCAAGCGGAAUUCCUAGUGUAGCGGUGAAAUGCGUAGAUAUUAGGAGGAACACCAGUGGCGAAGGCGGCUUGCUGGACGACAACUGACGCUGAGGCGCGAAAGCGUGGGGAGCAAACAGGAUUAGAUACCC